GUGUCAGCAGCCGCGGUAAGACGAAGGAUGCAAGCGUUAUCCGGAUUCAUUGGGUUUAAAGGGUGCGUAGGCGGCCUGGUAAGUCAGUGGUGAAAGCCUGUUGCUUAACAACAGAACUGCCAUUGAUACUGCUGGGCUUGAGUACAGAUGCUGUGGGCGGAAUAUGACAUGUAGUGGUGAAAUACAUAGAGAUGUCAUAGAACACCGAUUGCGAAGGCAGCUCACAAAACUGUAACUGACGCUGAGGCACGAAAGUGCGGGGAUCAAACAGGAUUAGAUACCCUGGUAGUCCGCACUGUAAACGAUGAUUACUCGCUGCUAGGGGGCAACCUUUAGUGGCUUAGCGAAAGCGAUAAGUAAUCCACCUGGGGAGUACGCCGGCAACGGUGAA
rnacentral:rRNA from 1 species